GAAUGAAAUUUUGUUGCAAGGCACAAAUUGUUCCAAAGGUGCUAGUUUGUCCAAACUGGUACAGCAUUCAAGAUGUAAACACUAAGUAAUUCCCUAAACUUCUGGGGAACAUCAAGGAGGGAGUGGUUACCUGAUAUAACAGAUUAGUAAUGCUGAUUUUCCUUUUUCUUUUUGCGAAAAAAAAAAUUACAAAGCCCAAUAAAACAUCUAGUAGUAAGGAGAAGAGUACACCUGCUUUAAAGCUUUGAAUAACCUACUGACAUUCAUCUGGUGGCAUUUUAUAAUAGAACUCUAAAUACCUCUUAGUCUUUGUGAAUUUAGGAAAAAGUAAACUCAAAAAGAGCCUUUUGAAAACUAAUCUGUUUAUAUUUAGAACUGUUUCUGUACAAAAAUUUAAGGUCAUCUUAGCAUCUUGAAAUAAAGUAUUAACAUGUUUUCAAUGAUCAUCUCAUAAGUAACAUCUAGUGUAUAUCUGUAUACAAUGAACAUGAACAUACACAUAAAGAUAAGAUUUCAUACUGAAUAGAGCUUAUGGUUCUAGAAUUUCCAAAUUUAGUAUACUCAAGUUUCCUUAAGUGAAGCAUUCCCACACAAACAUAAAAUACUUAGGAAUGUAACUCAGUACUCUAAGUAAAACAUCUUUGAUGUAUCUGAUUACAAUACCAUGAUAAGAGUAAAAUACUGGGGCGCCUGAUUGGCUCAGUCGGUUAAGUGUCUGUCUUUGGCUCAGGUCAUGUCCAGAGUCCUGGGAUCAAGUCCCACAUCGGGCUCUCUGCUCAGUGGGGAGCCUGCCUCUCCCUCUCCCUCUGCUGCUUCCCCUGCUUGUUCUGUCAGAUAAAUAAAAUACUUUAAAAAAAAUAAUGCUGAGAAGAAUAUUAAUAAAUCUGUUUUAGUUAAUAAAAAAUGAAAUCCUUAUUUAUAGUUUUGCAAAGACUCGAAUUCCUAGCAGCACAUGACGCUUGACAUGUCCUUAAAAUGUCCAAUAGGUGGGGCAUGUCACACAGUAGGACUAUUUCAGUAGAGGAAAGGUAACCAAAAACCUUCAAGAAACACAAGAUACAUGCCUUGUUAUAAAAUUAAGAAAAUAAUCCAUUCACAUUUGGAUAAACUGGAAUUUUAAAUGGAACAGAAGGUUAAAAUAGUAACAGAAGGUAUCUACCUAUGCUAUAAUGUACUACUUCUGAGUUAAUAACCAAGCUAUUCUAGAAUAACUCUAGGUUUCUGAUAUUUGUAAACUCCCCAAAGAAGUUUCUAAAAUGGUAAAUAUGCAUUUUAGAACUUUAAACCUAAAAACAAAACAAAACAAAACAAAACAAAAAAACUUUACGUCUAUACAAAGAAAACAAUUCUUCUUUAAUGUUGAAACUUUAGUUCUUACUCUUUCUUUAGUGCAUAUGGAAAAGCAGUUAAGGCCUAAUAACACAUUAACCUUUCAUUUAGAGAGCUUUUAAAUUCUACUGUUUCCUGCUUACUUAUUUUUUUUUGUUUUCCUGCUUACUUCUUACUUUAAUUUGUUUUGUUCUUAUGGCUCAUUUCUUAAGAUAAGAGUAGGAAAUUCUCUCUACAUACAUUCCCACAAAAAAUUAUUAACCCCGUUAAUCUACUUAAAGAUUUAUCUAUGUGUCACAAGAGGAUUAUUAAAAAUGUGUAAGUAUUAAAGUUAUAAAGGCAAUUGCCUGCAUGCAAAUUCCGAUAGUAAUUACUAAAUACUUACGAUCUACAGCAAUUUUUUCAGUUCCAUCCAAAGGAUUAAUAAUUCCUGGAACAAGCUCUCCAAAAGACAAAUGAUCUAUUCUGUGAGAAAAGUUGUAGGCUAAGAGGAAUAAAAUAAAACAAAUUAAGUAUAGAAACUAAAUUAUUCAAAACUAUAGGUUAUUUAUUGGUUCAUAUUCUUAUCUAAUCUCAAAUGAAACUAUUUCAAAUAUGUAAGUAUAAUAUAGUAUAAUAUGUAUCUAAAACUAAAUCUAAUAUAGUCUAAUAUAGUCUAAUCUAAUAUAGUAUCUAAAACUAAAUUAUUUUGAGAAAAAUGCAUAUAAAUGUGUGGAAUUAAGUGUGUAACAAGUACAUACAAAUAAAAUGCUAUAUCUCAAAUUUUAUAAUUAUAAGUUAUCUUUUACAAAAUAGUACAUCUAAUCCUGAUAACUAAAAAUAGUAGGCCUUCCUUGUCCAAAUCAUUAUAUAGUAACAGAACUGUCAGCACUAGAAUGAUGUCCAUGCAGCCAAAUAAUGAAACCGAUCAGAUAGAUUUUUAAUGCAAAUCAUUGCUAAAUAUGACAACCUGAUUUUUUUAAUGGGUUCUAUUUCUUGUUUUUGUUCUCUAAAGAAGCCUUUGUUGCUGUUGUUUUUAAGAUUUAUUUAUUUAUUUAUUUGAGAGAGAGUGCAAGAGAGCACAAGCAGGAAGAGCAGCAGAGGCAGAGGGAGAAGGAGGCUCCCUGCUGACAGAAGCCCCAGCCAGACAUGGGGCUUCAUCCCAGGACCCCAGGAUCAUGACCUGAGCCAAAGACAGACGCUUAAUCAAACAAGCCACACAGGCACCCUCUAAAGAAGAAUUUAAAAACUAAGUUUUAUAACAAUCAUUACCUAAAACCAACUUGUAUAUUUGCUAUGUAUGCAUGUGUCCAGAUGUCCACUUACAAACUGAAAUAAACUUCGAAUAAUGCUCUUCAUUAUCCAUAAAAAUUAGCAGAAAUGUGUACAAAGUGAUAUAAAGCUCACCAAGGCUCUGUUCCCUAACCCUAGCAGCUUCUGAGCUAUGAAUCAAUAGAAACACAGGUAGUUUAAAGAUAAGAGAAAAUGGAUUAGAGUCAACAUAUUUAAUCAUUUAUUUUCUCCUUUGGAUAUCCGUUUUGACAACAGCCCACAAAACCCUACCUUGCAUCUGCACUCAAAACAAAACAAAAACCCAUACAUAACACUUUUUUCAAUGACAUCUUCCUGGAAAAAAUUUCAGAAACUGCUUACAGUCAUGGUUGACAAGUGCUGCCAAAUGUGCAUGACCUCGGGGAUGUGGAAUUGCCCUGAAAAGAGGAAAAAAGAUUAAAGUACUAAUACUUAAAUAUAUAACUAAUUAAAACCAGAAAGGAAAUCUUUCCUAAGUUACAUAAUUGUCUUAAUAUAAAGUAAAAACACAGUUGUCCUAUGAUUUACAUAGGUAAGUCUACUCAUCUCAGCCCUGCAAUGAACUGGGGGCUGCCAAAGUGUUUCUGUGAAGUGUCAGACAGUGAGUAUUUUAGGCUUUGUGGGCCAAGAUGCAAAACUAAAGAUAUUAUAUAGUUAGUUACAUAAGAAGAAAAUUUUUCACAAACUUCUCUUAAUGACGUUCAAAAUAUAAUAGUAAUAACAGAGUACUUUUUUGUAAUUCAGGUAUUUUUGCGGGGAGAUAAGAUUUUCCUUAACUAGGGUUUAGAGUUAGUGUUCCCUACUUUCAAAACUAAUCACAGAGAUUUAUCUGCUAUGAAAAUCUAGAAUGAAAUUUUACAUAUUUUGUCUUUGGAAAUAUUAAGCCAGUUAUCUUUUAACUGAGUAUAUGCAUUGCUUGGGUAGAACCCUAUGAGGUUCUUCUCGGUAUUUCCUUUUGGAGCGUUAUUAACAUAAUACACUGACGGACUGCUUGCAAUUUAAGGCAGAAUUUCCUCAAGGGCACAGUUAAAUACAUUUUGAAACGUGGAAAUUUCCUUUGUUCCAGCAUCAAGGUAGGAAAACACUUCAGGAACUAUAGUUUGCGGUUGGAAAAUAAAUACAAGUAUAAGAAUGGAGAUCUUCCUUCUUGUUUUAACUUUUGACAGUCAGGCAUGGGAAGCAUCAGUUGACAAUACUUUUCAUUGAAAUAACCUUACCACAAUAUAAGUUUCAUAAAUUAACCUGUUUUUCUUAUAAUUUCAGGCUAAAUUCAUUAAGAAACAUGACCCAGUCAGCACAAAACUUAACUUUUAAAGUUUGUUCAAUAAAAACAGCUGACAAUAGUUUUUGUAUUCAGAAAAAUUUUAAUCUCAGCCCUAAGUGCAUCCCCCCAAAUCACACAAAAACAGGGCUAGACCACUACUAAGCUGUUAAGCUGUCAUGUAAUAGGGCAAGUUGGAAUAUUCAGCUUUUCUUUCUGACAAAUGUUCAUGGAAAUGUUAAUGUUUAAGUCCAUGAGAGUAAAUGAGGUUCACCAUCAAUAUUACCAGUUCAUUAAUACAUGACAGAUUCAAAUAUUUUCUGCAAAGUACUGCCAAUGAUACUAAUGGAUAGCCACAGGCUAUAAACAAUUUACAUUUUCACAAGCCUUGAAAAUUUAUCCACGUUAAGCCUUUUUUUUUUGCUUCAUAUCUAUUUACCACCAGCAACACACUGAUGUUCUAUUUCUUUAAAAAAUAUUUUUGUGUGUAGUUGUUCCAAUUACAAUUGAAUUUGAUCAAUUCAAACUCACACUGACUCCUCAAAACUAAAACAAACAGUAUUGGUAACCUCUGUUCAUUCAGCAAAAGCUAAGGAAAUCCACUCACUAUCACCUGCCUUGCUUUUGAACUAUUGGGACACUGCUCUCAGUGUCUUCAUCUGCUAGAGCACUUUUCCCACCAAAAAGCUAAUCCUCCAAAGCAAACUUACUUUCCCUGGAUGCAUUUCUUUGGAGGGUGCAAACACAAGCAAUCUCAUCAAGCUGCUAGGAAGGGGCUUUCCUUCCUCAGCUAACCAAUGAGUCACAUGUCAACCUACUGGGUUGCAAUCUCACUUUCAUUUUUAUUUUUACAAAGAAAUUCUGCUUGUGCUUAUUCCCUUUUAAAUUUUUUAAUUUUCCUGAGAGUUAGUAAUGUUGUGAUGCGUGCUUAGUCCAGUAAUAAUUACAUAUCCCAUAUCCUUUUAGCACAGCUAUGGAGUCACUGCAUAAUAAACAUGAUGUUCUGAAGUCAAAUUUGAUAAAAUAAUCCACACUCCACCCUGCCUUAAAGUACAUCUGAAACCCAUAUUUCUUUUUCUUUUCUGACCAAGUAAUACAAUAAAGAAAUCAGAUGUUGCGGUACAGUAAUACGCAAGGCAUUUGUAAUGCUAUCAAGCUGUAACUGUUACAACCUGUUCUAAUUUGUAGUGCACCAAGUAGCAGCACAAAGCAAUGAGUCAUAUACAGCCUCUGUCACUAUCAUGGUUACUCAAAUCCUGGUUCUGUAGUGCACAAGAAGCCAUAUGUAAAAAAUACCCAUGACUGUGUUCCAGUAAAACUUUAUUUUUAGUUACUGAAAUUUGAAUUUCAUAUAGUUUUCAUGGGUUGUGAUACAUUGUUCCACAUGAUUUUCAGUAAAUGAAAGACUGUUUUGAAAACUGGAGGGUCGGGAGGAGGCAUUUUGGGUUUUCACAAUUACUGGGGAGAAUAGUCAGCAUUUUGUGGACAGCAGCUAGGGAAGGCAUCCCGCAAUGCAGUGAUGCUCUCACACACAAAAAUAUUGUAUGACAUCUUGCAUGACUUCCAAACACUCUAAGUGGCAUUCAUGUAGGUGAAAAACCUAUGAAUAAUGACCUGAGUCUAGGACUUAACUCCAUUUGGCGACAUGAAGUACUUUGUUGUCGUUUCAAUAUAUAUUAAAUGCCCUAGGAAAUGGAGGGAAUAUUUUACUUUUUUUGGUUUGCAGUAUCACAAAGAUUUCAGAAUCAACAGAAAUACCAUCAUGAUAUUUGAACGACCAUUACAUGUGUUUCAUUCUGCAUGUGCAAUCGAUGUAUACCUACUGAUUCUACGUGUGUGUGGCAAGUUAUCUGCCUACACCAUUACCUUACCUAAGGUACUCCUGCUCAAACAUUUGAUUUUUGAAAUAUAUAUUAUUGUUGUAAAUCAUGUUCUUUUUAUUUCUUCUUUUCAUUACAGUUGAGGAUGAUAUUAUAUCUUGGAGGUAACAUGAGAUCUUCAAAAAGAUCAAUACUGAACUCGGUAAACAUAAUACCGAAAAACAGGAGUGGGUUAAUAAGAUAUCCCAGAGAUAAGGGAACUACAAAUUUUUGGAGCUUCGUAUGGUCUUAAAAUUGUCUAGAAUUCAAACUGUAUUCCAGGCUUAGGAGAUGCUGCAGGAACCACAGAAUGAGGCCAAGUGGCCAGGCUUCUGGGAAUCUCCACUAUGUUUAUGAGGACAACUGGAAUAACUGCAUCAAUUUAAAGAUAGCGAUAAACAAAACAAGCAUCUCCUGAAUUCUUCACUGAACAGUCUGACUCAUUUCUUUUAACGGCUAUAUACCAGAGUUUAAAGUAUCAGGCUAGGCAACAACUUAAAUACAACUUCAACAAAUGAACAAAUAUUGUUUUUAAAUGUAUCUUUAACUGCUUCUGGAAGCCAGUCUUGAAACAUUUUAACAGACACUAUGUAACUUUGCGUUGAGGCCACUAAAUUCUAAAUAUAAAACUUACUUAAAUAAGUUUUCUCAAUAAACUAUCAACUCCAUAUACUACUAUACCUAAGGCUAUUUUCUACCUUGAAGUGAAAAGUUACCUUCCGAAGUUUUCUUAACCUUAGAAGGUUAUAAGUAAAGUAGUAACACUCAAACCUCUCUCCUAUAGCAUCUCGCCAGCCCUGCCCCUUUCUCAUUUCUCCAAGCGGCGUGGGAAACUCUUUCGAGGCGAGGCCAAGACCUAGGUCUUUCUUAAAGUGAGCAACCUGCUGCCAAGAAUUUGGUAUUUGCUGAACGGGGGUGGGGAGCCAGACACCCGGGAGAAUGGGUCCACGAUCUGGCUGGUCUUCACAACACGGGACCCUUCUCCCUGAGGACCAGAGGACCACUGGGGCACCGGACACUGCGAGAAGCAAUGGGUCAGGGUCAGCAGCUAUCGGGGAAGCACUUAAACUCCUUCAAGUUGCAAGAUAGCGCAGAGACACAGGACUGGGGAGAUGGGGGCUCCCAGGCGCAGCGCUACCCAGGGUCCUGCCAGCAACGCCCCCGGGGGAGGUGGAGCGGCAACCUAGUCCGGCCCUCUUCCCAAAGGAGGGUGAUGAAGUCAGGGAGCCAAUCUCGUGACAGAUUCUCAGCCCCCUUAACCACAUUCACGCCCUGAACAGCCUUGGAACAAUCGGGAAAACAGCACCCAACGGGGUUUCAGUAUUUUACCUUGUGU